UUACAGCCAUAUCAUGUUGAAACAUCGGUUCUCGUACGAUCACUGAAGUUAAGCAACGCCGAGCCUGAUCAGUACCUAGAUGGGUGACUGCUUGGAAUACUAGGUAUUGUAAG